CAAAAACCUGCAUGUUACAUUUCAAAAGAUGAUGGGUUGUACUGGCAAGAAAUAGAUGUGCGCAUUGGAGCAAUUCUUGGACAUCAUGUUUUAAAUGAACAACUAUAUGCAAUACACAGAAACCAAAAGUUGUAUUUAAUGUUUCAUGAAGUAUUUAAAAAGUGGUUGGUUGUAACAAACGAUGAUUUUAAAACUAAAAUCAUAAACAAACUUGAUUGGUCAAAAUUACAAUCUUUUGAGGAAGAUAUGGAACUUAAUGUAACAUAUGGAACAAAGCAGUGGAUGGGAAACAAUAAUGGGUUACACAUCAAAAACCUGACUACCA
rnacentral:lncRNA from 1 species